AAAUAACAGCCAGGGAGCAUCCCGCACGGGGAGGAAAAAAAAAAAAAAAAGAAAGGCCUCAUCCUGCAAACCCUCCUAAGCGCAGGCCGCAGAUGUGCUCCUGGGAAACCCACGUCGGCAGGGCUCGGCUGGCGAGAGCAGGUCUAACCCUGCGUCCUCCUCCCCCCACCGACGCCCAAGACUCGCUGAACCCCAGGUAGCAGGAGAAAAAUGCCUUCUAGAACUGAAGUAUUUUACAGUUAUCAUAGUAAUCUGCUGUCCUGGGUACUUCAGUGUAUUGUAUUAGCAGCACAGCCAGACAUGAGAAAAAUAAGACUGAGCAAAAGUCUAUUCAAGUCAUUUUAAUGGUAAGAUGAGUGAAGAACUGUAGCAGAUUGUCUUUGCAAGUGAAGAGUCAUUUUGUUAAAUCUUUCCUGGAUGAAUUCCAACAGAGAAAUGGAUCAUGCGUUAGGAUAGGGAGAGAAGAAGCAGAGGAUUGUUUCUGAAUCGCUUCCAGGCCUGUGUUUUCUGUAAUCAUAUAAUGUUGUUGUUUUGUUUUUUUUAUCAUUUCCUUUGCAGUUAACAAAGCAAGCAGGAGAGUGACUGAGGACAAUUCCUCAGUAGGGGGCUGUGCGAGCUGUUGCAUUUUGUUUGUUUUAAGCCAUGUGGAUAAACUCUCAUUCCAUUGAGGGAAACGGGUAGUUUUCCUCUAUGAAAAGUACAUCUGAAUUUUGGAAGGCAGAAUAACAUGAUUUGUUUCUUCAUCAGGAGCAGUAUUUUUAGGAAGUGUAGCUCAGAAUGAAGCAUUUACUGUAUCUGUAACUCAUGCAAGUGUAUUAAAAUUGCAUUUUAGUAGUGGACAGGAAUAGAUAACACACACAAAAAGCCGGCUUUGAUAGUUUCUUGUCAACGUUUGCUUAAAUAUACCCAGACCUAUACUAAAGGAUAUUAAAACCACAAAGGCAAGUGGUCCAGAGUUAGGAGAGACCACACUUAUACCUGACGUUGCAGCUUACUUCUGUCUCUUAGGUAGAAGCAGACGUAUUGGUGGGGGGGGGGGGUUGCCUUUUUUUACAACCUAAUGUUUUUUUUCUUUGGGGCUUUUUUCU
rnacentral:lncRNA from 1 species